GCAGCAGUGCACUUUCUCUAGCAUUUAACACCACUACCCGGGACAAUGGAAACUUGACAGUGUCAGAGUUGACUGGACCUCAGGGCCACAAUGUCACCUGCACAGCAACAAACAGUGUGGGCAAAGAAAUUUUUCAGAUACUUGUUUAGGUUAAAGGGACUGCUUCUACACUAGCGACAGUUGGGGCAGCCGGGGUGUGUAUCAUCAUAAUAGUUGCUAUUACAGUAACCGUGUUCUGGAGAAAGAGACGUCAUGCAGAGCCAAGUGGAGACCUCAAUAUUACCCAGGCUACAAAGCAUGAGGGAAGGUACCAUAAUGACCAUAUAGAUUCAGAUGAAAACCUGUAUGCAAAUAUACAGCUGAUUCAACGUGCUAAUAAAAAGCAGGUAAACAAUGUUAAAAAUGUCAAUACACA